GCUCGAUCCCAGGACCCUGGGAUCAUGACCUGAGCCGACGGCAGAGGCUUUAACCCACUGAGCCACCCAGAAACCCCAUGAUACUAUCUUCUGAGAAGGUUCCAUGAUUUCAGCUUGAUUGAUUUACAAGAACCCAGGUUCCAGGAUCCUGUUUGUAGUUAAGUACUUCUUUGCCUUUGCUCCCAGUUCAACAUCACCAGCCCCCUGGGAAAUGUACCAGGGGAUUGGCAUUUUACCCUCCAGGAAAUCGAGGCCCAGAGAAUACAUUACCUUGUGCAAUGUCUAUCACUCAGUAAGAAGCAAGUCCAAGAUUAAAACCUUCACUCCUUUAAGAGUGCUGUUUUUCCCAUUAGCACAGAACCAUAAAGAGCAGGAUCUAUGGGACUCCAAACAUUCUUAUUUUGAACGUGAACACUUGAUAUACAAGACCUGAACUAUAGCACUGUUCAUAUCGGUAAUUCAACCCAUAGCUGCCUGUUUUAAAUCUGGAUUCAGCCAACCUUGGUCGUAUUUGCUUCUUGGAAUCCCCAAAGCAGAUCCCAAGUUCUGUCUCCUAAUCUUCUCAAGGCAGAGACGCUUCGAGGUAUCCUGCCAGACCACCAUAGUAAUGAGGCCUGACAUUGCAGAUUCUCCCCGAUGAGUGGAAGCUUCUCACCUCCCCUCUACCUCAGCCCCUUUGAGUAAUAAUGAGUCACUCUAAAACCUAGCUUCUCUGCACUUUCUGAAUAUGGAAAUGACAAUCCUGAAUUACCACAGCAGGAUGUGU